rnacentral:rRNA from 1 species
GACGAACGCUGGCGGCGUGCUUAACACAUGCAAGUCGAACGAUGAAGCCGGAGCUUGCUCUGGUGAAUUAGUGGCGAACGGGUGAGUAACACGUGAGUAACCUGCCCUUGACUCUGGGAUAACUGCGGGAAACUGUAGCUAAUACCGGAUACGACCCUCGGAGGCAUCUCCUGGGGGUGGAAAGAAUUUCGGUCAAGGAUGGACUCGCGGCCUAUCAGCUAGUUGGUGAGGUAAAGGCUCACCAAGGCGACGACGGGUAGCCGGCCUGAGAGGGUGACCGGCCACACUGGGACUGAGGCGCGGCCCAGACUCCGACGGGAGGCAGCAGUGGGGAAUAUUGCACAAUGGGCGCAAGCCUGAUGCAGCGACGCCGCGUGAGGGAUGACGGCCUUCGGGUUGUAAACCUCUUUCAGCAUCGACGAAGCGAAGGUGACGGUAGGUGCAGAAGAAGGACCGGCCAACUACGUGCCAGCCGCCGCCGUAA